rnacentral:lncRNA from 1 species
UCCUAUAUAUUGAUUUUCAUAUUAGUGAGUAAGUAGUACAAUGUCAUUGCAAUGAAGAAGUUGAUAAUAUUAUUGCAUAUAUGUAAGAAAGCAAAUGCAUCUGCUUUGUGUAUUACACAAAUUUCAACUUAUGCUCAUAUGAUAAUUCUCUUUUCGAACUUAAAAGGCUUCUCUAGAGAAAAUUGAGAGACAUGUUCUUCAAAUUGAUCACAAUAGCCAUGUUGCCAUUAAGAUUAGCCACCAAAAUGCUGUAGAAAACAUGACCAAGUGCCUCCACAUGAUUUUAUUGGAAUUGUUGAUUUUAAAAAUCCAAUUUAAAAACAAAACAUUGCUAUGUAAUCAUGAAAACCAAAGAAUUGAAAAAUAACAUCAAAUUUCUUUCCUUCUCUAAGUUCGUUCCUGCAAAACCAGGAAGAAAAAUAAUGUCUUACAUAAAAGAGAGGACACUUUGGCUAAAGCUCUUCAUUUACUGGACUCGGAAAAUUUGCUUACUACCAAAUUUAUUUAUCCCAAAAAUAAAAAGAAAAUACUUUUUGAUAUAGAAGCAUCAUCUAUUGACUACAAAUUUCAAGUAUUUCUUGGGAGUAACAAUGUCACACAAGUAGAUAUGAGAAUUAAGAUGGGCGUCUUCUCCUUAUCAGUUCUAAAAUAUUUCGAGUAGACUCCCUACAUGUGAUUACUUAGGUCAGAUGGUAAGUGUUGAAGCUCCUGUUAGUGUUCGCUCUUUAUCAGAGGUAUCAUGAGACAUAGAUACAAUUCUAAACCUAUUGAUAGAACAUAUAAAUUAUUACCCUGUAUUUUGUUUUUAAUAUAUAACCCGUCUCAUUUCAGCCUUCAAGUACCUUUCUUGUCCAUUUGUUUACCUCAAGUCAGUAACUCCAAAAUGGCAAGAGAACUUUUCAUUGUUAAUGAUAUCUUUGAUAGAGCAUUUUCUACUAACAGCUUGCUCAAACAUGUUGGUCACUUUCCAUGUUAAUGCAGUGAGCCUCAAGUCCAUUUCUCGUGAUUAUAGAUGCUAGAAUAACUAUAAUAUUCAGACGUUGAAGAGUCUAAAGACAUCUCGGAAGCAUUUGACAAAGAAGGGUUAUCCUCAUCCUAGAGAGAAAUCAGUAAGCAUGUUAACUUCAAGUCAUAUGUAUAAUAAGUAAUUACCGAGAAAUAAAAAAUGAUUCAGAAACAAUGAAUUACAUCAAGUGACUAAUAUGCUCUGCCUAUUAAAUUUGUAAGAUUUAAGCUCUAUCUGGUACACUAACUUUAAACUUUAAGUUACGGGACUUAGCACACAGGACCUUUGUUUGUUAUAGGGGAACCAUCUCUAUUAGUCAAGCUUGACAGUCACUACCUAACGUUUUUGGUAAAUAAAAAUUCAAUAUGUCCGAGAAUGAAAAUGAGGACAUAUUCAGCAGAAAGUUUGAAAGUUUAUUGAACCAAAAUAAAUGAUAACCCAAUUACUGCUUAAGGAUAGGGCAUACUUCAGGAAAGGUUGAGAGAAAUAGAAAACCUGAACUCCACAUGAAGUCCCAUUUCAUUAAAAUUCAUCACAUAUCAAAAGAUAGAGAUCAUGCCAAAUCAUAUUAACUUGUAUUGAUGAAUUGUUUAAGGUAAAUUUAAUAGUAGGCUAUGAUUUUAAACAUCCAAUGCAGAAAAAUACUUUAUAUAUCUGCAGAUAGACAUGAACAUAAUCUAAAGCAAAUACAUACAUAUUACAUAGAGUACAAAAGACAAUUGAUCUCGUGCUUCAAUCAUCUUAGGAAUAUCCUCAUGCUAAAGGGAAGAAAUUAUCACUAACAUGGUGCCUCCAUUAGUUGGAGGCACAAGUUAUUCCUAAGUUUAAAUAUCGAUUCAAAACUAUAAAAGAUACUUUGAACAAGAAAAAGAAAGAAGCAGUAAACCAGUGAAAGUGAAUUACCAACCUGACCAGCAAGUGAGAAUAGCAAGAUUCCCCUUGACCUCCUUGGGGAGUUGGCAGUUGAAUUCAUCAAAAGAAUAAA